rnacentral:rRNA from 1 species
UUUCCCCCCCCGGGCCCCGGGCCCGUCCCGCCGCCCCCGCCCGCCUACGGGAGGCAGCAGUGGGGAAUAUUGCACAAUGGGCGCAAGCCUGAUGCAGCAACGCCGCGUGAGGGAUGACGGCCUUCGGGUUGUAAACCUCUUUUAGUAGGGAAGAAGCGUAAGUGAGUCA